UACGGGGGGGGCAAGCGUUAUUCGGAAUUACUGGGCGUAAAGGGCUCGUAGGCGGCCAACUAAGUCAGACGUGAAAUCCCUCGGCUUAACCGGGGAACUGCGUCUGAUACUGGAUGGCUUGAGUGUGGGAGAGGGAUGCGGAAUUCCAGGUGUAGCGGUGAAAUGCGUAGAUAUCUGGAGGAACACCCGUGGCGAAGGCGGCCUGCUGGGCCGGUCCUGACGCUGAUGCGCGAAGGCGUGGGGAGCGAACGGG
rnacentral:rRNA from 1 species